UGCACUGUGAGGAAUGACUUCACCAUGUGCCUGAGCUCUUGCAAUCGGACUUGGUAGUCAUAACUUCUCGACAGAACCCCCGAACAUGGUGCGGAUCGUGGCCGAUAGUGACUUUAUCCUCAACCACCCCUGAUGGUAUCAGAGAAUCACCCACCACAAUGAACUGACUUUGCAGUAUUCAGUCCAUGCUACACUGCCAACCUGCUUAAGAAUUAUCUCAAUUUACUAUUUACACUUUUCCUUCAUUCACAGUAGUUGGCUAAAUAAACCUUAGCAUAUUUUACUAUUUA